rnacentral:tRNA from 1 species
GUUAAUGUAGUUUAAAAAAAACUUAGAUUUGUGGUGUCUAGAAUACUUUCAAAAGUCAUUAACC